CCACUGAACCGUCAUGCUAGCUGUUCCGAACAAGGCCUGGCAAGAACUUGGCAAGGACUUGGCAAGGACUUGGCAAAGACCUGACGUGGACCCAGCACGGGACAGCCUGAUGCGCGGCCUGCUUCUAAUCUCCGUUCUUAAGCCAAAUGAACUUUUGGGCUGACUCCCGGGGUCCUUCAUUGAAGACCCCUCAUCUGCCUCGUUACCACUGUGACAAACAAAGAAUGAGAACCCUCCUCCCAAGGACUGAGACUGAGACCCCUGCUAUAGGGAGGAGGGGAAAUUGGUGGUCUGACCACUAAUGACAUGACCUGUUUCCCUUCAGUGAUUCAAAUGGACUUCUUCUUCAUUGGAUUCGUCUUGCUUUGGUGGUUUCUGUGGACUCACCUGUUCCCGCGUGGCGAUUACAAUGGACUUUCAUUGUUACACUUGCUCCCCCCUCUUUCCUCUGUGGACUAUAACUGGAGCCCCGAGUCGACCAGAACUUCGGAGACUCCCCCGACACGACAGACGGAUCCCCAUCGUCCGGACCACUGAGGAUCUCGCCUGUGUUGAAUUCCGUUGUGUUUACUUUUUCAGAAGAACUCCGAGGGACAUGAAGACCACCUAAUCCAUGAUCAAACUGGUAAUACUUUUCUGCAUCCUACCACAACCCCAUGGCCAGAAACCAGCUGAGUGACCGUGGUCUGAACUAAUUGUGGUAGCAUGCAGAAAAAGUGAAAGGAUCUCUUUAAGCACAAAAAGGUCUGCACGCACCCAAGCGUACAGGAUUGUUGGCACAAUUUUACACUAACACAGACUGCAGAAGUGGUUUGUUUAUGGGGAAAAAACACCAAAGGGCUUUCUUUUAAGUUUAUAAUAAAUGCUGUAGCUCAAUCUACUACGGUUUAUACCACCACCACUACCACCACUCGAGCCCAGCCACCAGUUAUGCUUACCCCGAAAAUUUUUGAAGUUGGACCAUAUGUAAUCAGGAAAACUGGCCAACAACAGAUAUUAUUUGAUCCGGCAUGGUCUCUUAAACAAGUCAAAUUGCUGAUGCAAAACAAUGUCUCAGAAAUACAACCAGCUUGUUCACCCUUUUUGCAAACCUCUUUUCAGGCUUGGACAACCUGGCUGCGACAGUGGAACCCUCCUAAAAAACGGGUGCCAAGAGACAUAACUGGUGUUGUGGGAACAGAAUUGGGAAUCAAUUCAGAGCUCCAGUUACCUUACAUGAACUUUUAGAAUCCAAUCUCAUGUUGAUUCACAAGCUACUGCCUACUCCCAUUGGGAUGAACCUUACUUUGGUAAAGCAACCAUUACUUCAUCAAGAUCUAAUAGAGAUCCUAGGAAAAAUCAAGGAGAAUGGACAGAAAACUCUGGUAACUGUUCAUCAUGAUGUGCAAGAAAUACAUCGUGUUGUAGAAAGGGUGGAAAGUGAUGCCGAGCACAAGUGCUGGGAUACCCUUUUCGGGUGGUCACCCACCGCCACGGGUAUCCUGAACAAAUUGUGCCAUCCCGUUGUUGUUCUUCUGAUUUUAGUUAUGAUUGGUUUUGUUUUAUCAGUAAUCUUGCUUAUUGUAAAUUGGAGAAUGAUGAAACGAUGAACAAAAUUAACAUCUAUAAUUAAUGCACACCACUUGGCCAACAUCCUUUACACUAUAGAUGUUCCCAGGACUGUAGACACAAGAAGAUUAUAGGGUUGGUAGAUAUGUUUUACAUCAUUUUCUUUUAUGAUUUGUUUUAAUCACUGUUUUAAUUAUUUUUGUUUCUUGAUUAUAAAAUUAUACUGAGUAAUAUCGAUGAUACUAGGUUUAUUACUUUACUGCUUAAUAUUGAUUAUACUGGUUUAUUAUUUGAUCAAUUUAUUGUUUAAUUGAUUAAUAUUGAUUAUUAUUUAAACAAACUAUUGCUGAUUUAAUUCUUGUCUUAGUUUUCCUGUUUUCUCUUUCCUUUCCUUUUUCUCUUCCCUUUUCCCUGGAAUGUGCUGCCAACACUUGAUGAGUCCUGAAGACUCCACGACGACACCAUGGAACCCUGCUGAUGAAGAUCUUUCGAGGGCAAUCGUCACUCACGGGGUGGUGUAAGAGCCCGUCUGAAGCCCCUCAUUUUCCAUUCUGCCUUCCGAUUGCCACAAGAAAGAAUCCCUUCCUCCACUGCAGUUCCGGCUUAGAACAGGACACAGUGCAGGUGCAACCACUGAACCGUCAUGCUGGCUGAUCCCAACAAGGCCUGGUAAGAACUUGGCAAGGACUUGGCAAGGACUUGGCAAAGACCUGACGUGGACCCAGCACGGGGCAGCCUGAUGCGCGGCCUGCUUCUAAUCUCCGUUCUUAAGCCAAAUGAACUUUUGGGGUGACUCCCGGGGUCCUUCAUUGAAGACCCCUCAUCUGCCUCGUUACCAGUGUGACAAACAAAGAAUGAGAACCCUCCUCCCAAGGACUGAGACUGAGACCCCUGCUAUAGAGAGGAGGGGAAAUUGGUGGUCUGACCACUAAUGACAUGACCUGUUUCCCUUCAGUGAUUCAAAUGGACUUAUUCUUCAUUGGAUUCGUCUUGCUUUGGUGGUUUCUGUGGACUCACCUGUUCCCGCGUGGCGAUUACAAUGGACUUUCGUUGUUACACUUGCUCCCCCCUCUUUCCUCUGUGGACUAUAACUGGAGCCCCGAGUCGACCAGAACUUCGGAGACUCCCCCGACACGACAGACGGAUCCCCAUCGUCCGGACCACUGAGGAUCUCGCCUGUGUUGAAUUCCGUUGUGUUUACUUUUUCAGAAGAACUCCGAGGGACAUGAAGACCACCUAAUCCAUGAUCAAACUGGUAAUACUUUUCUGCAUCCUACCACAACCCCAUGGCCAGAAACCAGCUGAGUGACCGUGGUCUGAACUAAUUGUGGUAGCAUGCAGAAAAAGUGAAAGGAUCUCUUUAAGCACAAAAAGGUCUGCACGCACCCAAGCGUACAGGAUUGUUGGCACAAUUUUACACUAACACAGACUGCAGAAGUGGUUUGUUUAUGGGGAAAAAACACCAAAGGGCUUUCUUUUAAGUUUAUAAUAAAUGCUGUAGCUCAAUCUACUACGGUUUAUACCACCACCACUACCACCACUCGAGCCCAGCCACCAGUUAUGCUUACCCCGAAAAUUUUUGAAGUUGGACCAUAUAUAAUCAGGAAAACUGGCCAACAGCAGAUAUUAUUUGAUCCGGCAUGGUCUCUUAAACAAGUCAAAUUGCUGAUGCAAAACAAUGUCUCAGAAAUACAACCAGCUUGUUCACCCUUUUUGCAAACCUCUUUUCAGGCUUGGACAACCUGGCUGCGACAGUGGAACCCUCCUAAAAAACGGGUGCCAAGAGACAUAACUGGUGUUGUGGGAACAGAAUUGGGAAUCAAUUCAGAGCUCCAGUUACCUUACAUGAACUUUUAGAAUCCAAUCUCAUGUUGAUUCACAAGCUACUGCCUACUCCCAUUGGGAUGAACCUUACUUUGGUAAAGCAACCAUUACUUCAUCAAGAUCUAAUAGAGAUCCUAGGAAAAAUCAAGGAGAAUGGACAGAAAACUCUGGUAACUGUUCAUCAUGAUGUGCAAGAAAUACAUCGUGUUGUAGAAAGGGUGGAAAGUGAUGCCGAGCACAAGUGCUGGGAUACCCUUUUCGGGUGGUCACCCACCGCCACGGGUAUCCUGAACAAAUUGUGCCAUCCCGUUGUUGUUCUUCUGAUUUUAGUUAUGAUUGGUUUUGUUUUAUCAGUAAUCUUGCUUAUUGUAAAUUGGAGAAUGAUGAAACGAUGAACAAAAUUAACAUCUAUAAUUAAUGCACACCACUUGGCCAACAUCCUUUACACUAUAGAUGUUCCCAGGACUGUAGACACAAGAAGAUUAUAGGGUUGGUAGAUAUGUUUUACAUCAUUUUCUUUUAUGAUUUGUUUUAAUCACUGUUUUAAUUAUUUUUGUUUCUUGAUUAUAAAAUUAUACUGAGUAAUAUCGAUGAUACUAGGUUUAUUACUUUACUGCUUAAUAUUGAUUAUACUGGUUUAUUAUUUGAUCAAUUUAUUGUUUAAUUGAUUAAUAUUGAUUAUUAUUUAAACAAACUAUUGCUGAUUUAAUUCUUGUCUUAGUUUUCCUGUUUUCUCUUUCCUUUCCUUUUUCUCUUCCCUUUUCCCUGGAAUGUGCUGCCAACACUUGAUGAGUCCUGAAGACUCCACGACGACACCAUGGAACCCUGCUGAUGAAGAUCUUUCGAGGGCAAUCGUCACUCACGGGGUGGUGUAAGAGCCCGUCUGAAGCCCCUCAUUUUCCAUUCUGCCUUCCGAUUGCCACAAGAAAGAAUCCCUUCCUCCACUGCAGUUCCGGCUUAGAACAGGACACAGUGCAGGUGCAACCACUGAACCGUCAUGCUGGCUGAUCCCAACAAGGCCUGGUAAGAACUUGGCAAGGACUUGGCAAGGACUUGGCAAAGACCUGACGUGGACCCAGCACGGGACAGCCUGAUGCGCGGCCUGCUUCUAAUCUCCGUUCUUAAGCCAAAUGAACUUUUGGGGUGACUCCCGGGGUCCUUCAUUGAAGACCCCUCAUCUGCCUCGUUACCAGUGUGACAAACAAAGAAUGAGAACCCUCCUCCCAAGGACUGAGACUGAGACCCCUGCUAUAGGGAGGAGGGGAAAUUGGUGGUCUGACCACUAAUGACAUGACCUGUUUCCCUUCAGUGAUUCAAAUGGACUUAUUCUUCAUUGGAUUCGUCUUGCUUUGGUGGUUUCUGUGGACUCACCUGUUCCCGCGUGGCGAUUACAAUGGACUUUCGUUGUUACACUUGCUCCCCCCUCUUUCCUCUGUGGACUAUAACUGGAGCCCCGAGUCGACCAGAACUUUGGAGACUGCCCCGACACGACAAACGGAACCCCAUCGUCCGGACCACUGAGGAUCUCGCCUGUGUUGGUAGCUAUUCCCAUACCCCUCUUCUCUCUCUCUCUCUCCUUUUAUCUCCUUUCCGAUCCCCACUAUCGCAUUUACUG